GAGAAAGAGCCCUUGGGGCUCUCCGGGGAGCGCUUAGGAAAGGGGCUCUGUGUCCGGUUCUCCCUUCUGUUUCCUUCAGUGCAUUUAGGCUGUGCUUACCGGCCAGGUAAAAUUGAAGGGCAAUUGAAGAGGGUUACGACCACUGCCGCUAUUCUUGUCCCUGAUGACGAAGGAGUUGGUGCCCAAUACCGGCGUGGAGACAUUGCCAAAGGUGCAGGGUCCCUCGGAGAAGGUUGCCUGGUAAUGCUUAAGGCAGAUUCGGAAGAAAGUCCGGCAGCCGGGCUCGCAGGGCCGCCCAUUGGCCAGCAUACCGCGCUCGUUGGCGAACUCCUGCAGCCGCAACUGGAAGAUGCCGGAGCCCGCCGCGCGCUGCUGCACAGGGACGGAGAGAAGGAGGGAGGAGGGCGGUCAGGCUCAGCUGGCGCCGGGACACAAGCCCGGAGCGCUGCGGGAGGGGGCGGAGAGGACGCGGGACAUUACCUGCGGCCACAGGACCGCCAGCAGCAGUAGCGCCCAGCGACAGGCGCUCCGGGACCCAGGCGUCAUCCCUUGGGGUGUCCUCUCCACUCGGGGGCUCUGAAUCUGCUUGUUGGGAUGUCGCUCUCCUGCAAGUCCGUCUGCCAACCGAGUUCCUGAAAAGCUGAUUCCUCUCGGGACGCUGCUCCCUCGUCGCUUUCUCGAAAACUCCGCUGCUCGAUGCCUCGGCCUCUAGUGGCUACAGUCCCAGCACCCACCGGAGGGGGCCUCCGCCCCCGCCGCUCCCCCUGUCAGCCAGCCAGUAGGGCGCAGGUCCCCGCCCCUCUUCCAACUUCUGGGCUCCCAGCUCUGCGCGUGCCCGGCGACCAGCCCUUAGAGAUCGUCUGCUUAAAGGCUGAGACCCUCGCCACCAGAGGUUAGAAGGGUAGCCCAGAGAUGCGGCGGGAGGCAUGUCCCCAAACUGGCCACAGGUUACUGGUGGCUUCGGGCCUCCUUCCCAGCUGGAAGCCUACGAGCGCUCCCCAGGGCCACCAGAGCAGCUCCGAGACCUCCAGCGCGGUGUUAUCUCUCCUCUCGCCCGCUACCCUUCCCAGGGGACAGCGAUCUGGACCUGGCACACAGCACCCGGGUAGAGACGAGGAUACUGCGCCCGCAGGACAGGCUGGGGGCGGGGAAGAAGGCCUGCCUGGGGCGGGGCACUUAAGCCUUGAGAGACACUGCUGCGGUCGCUGCAGAGAAGGGGCCACGUGCUGGGAGCCGCGGCCGGGGAGCUGCACAGAAGGCGGGGAGAUUUGCAAACUGUUGCUGCCACAUGGCUGCUUCAUUCGAUCCAUUCACAUUGAAAUGAGGCCGGCGCGUGCCUCAUCUGCCGCAGGGCGCUGCCACGCGUCAGGCUGGCCCGCCGCGUGCCAACUGGGGCAGUGGGGCUGGCAGAGCCUGGCAGUCAUGGGGGCGCAGCUCGGGCCCUGAGGCCAGGAGGGGGUAGGGGAAGGGAAAUGAACUACUCUAGUCACUGAGGCGCCGCAGAUUCUCGGACCUUGGCCCUGCUUUUAGGAGUGAACCGACAGAAAGGCCCAAGACGAACGGUUUCAGAGGGGGGCCAGGAUCGAUGCCGCCGCUCCCCGCAGAUGCGCCCCGGCAGCGCUGCUCUCCAUCUGCCGCUGCUCGCACCUGCCGGUCAAUAAAUCGAUUUUACAAUUUAAUGCAGCAGCUUCCCGCCCGCCUCGGACAGAUGCCGCCGCAGAAGCACCUCCGCCCUUUCCCCUCCCCUUGAGGGGCGCCAGCGGUUAGGAACCGGUUUCCCGCUUAGCAAGCAGCGCCCCGCAGCGCGGCGCACUUUUCCCUACUGCCCCUUAGAGAAACUGCGUACUAGGAGUUUUUGCCCAGGGUCAGAGUGGAUUCCCCAGAGAAGAUGCCUGAGGCGGAGGGAGGAGAGAGGAAGAUGAUGACUUAGCAUUGGCCUGGAGGACUAGCCGGGGGGCUUCAAGGAAGGAACAGGAUGCAGGAACUGAUGAUAAAAUCCGAGGACUAGGGAGAGAAGAGGAGCGUGGUAUCUUAAGUCACAAUGGACUCUGAAGUCUGAAGAGGAGGACUGAGCAAGGAGAGCACUGAGGUGGUUUGGGGUGUCAGCCAUUUAGUCUGCUGAAUGAGUAUGACUCGGACUUGGCCAUGAAACUUAACCACAGUCACUUCUGUUCUUUUAUCUGUGCAACGUGCUAAUAGUAGCGACCCGGGAGUGUGAAGGACUGUAUGGGACUAGGCAUUUUGCAAGACUCAAAGAGUAAUUUAGUUCCUUUCUUUCCCUCUAGGCAAUAUGAAGACAACCCGAGGCCACCUUGGGGGCGGGGCACAAAUGAAUUUCAGAGGCAGAGGAAAAGGCCGACAGACAGACAAACUCCUCAGGGAAGAGGCAAGAGGAGCAGAUUGGAGGAGGGGAAAGAGCAGAGAGAGAAAAGUCAAGGUUUCAGGGCCUUUUUUGUAGGCCUGUGAUAAGGUUCUUGCCUGAACAACCCGGAGAAUAGCUGCCUAGACUUUGACCUUCUAGAGGAUACCUUCUCACCGAGACAACCCUACUGCUGAUGUUGGUCUUUCAGAACUGUGAUCUGCAGAAAGGAAGAGGUGUCACCUUUGGAUGAUCUAAUUAGUGAGGGUGCCGGCCACCCAGAGGGGCCCAGCUUUUCUCAUGCCUCUACGAAAGCCCACCUCCUGGGUUCACUGUCCACUGGCUGAUUGCUCAUGCCUGAUGACCCAACAUAUGUUAUAUAAAGGGUGCCCAAGUGGGCAGGAUUACUGGGCAUGGUAGAGUGCUGCUUGGGUUUCUCCUAAGGCCAGGAAGGUCUCCCAUCUCCUCUUCCAGGGUCCCAGGCACCUAGGGCCUGGAAUAGUUUCAUAGUUUCCUUGGCCUUCCCAGAGCGCAUGGAGCCUGGAACUGAGGGGAGUUUUCUUUCUCAUUAAGAGCAUCUAGAGCGGGGUUGGGGAUUUAGCUCAGUGGUAGAGCACUUGCCUAGCACACGCAAGGCCCUGAGUUCUGUCCCCAGCUCCGAAAAAAAAAAGAAAAGAAAAGAAAAAAAAAAAAAGAGCAUCUAGAGCCUGCAGAGACAGUAGGCCUGAGAGGAGAAGCCAAGGAUUCCAGAAGCUUGUUUUUGACUGUGUGUACUGAGUAGGAAGCUUUCUUAUGGCCUCUUCGGUGCUGGUUAAAAGGAAAGAAGGUGGAACGGGCACAGACUUGGCAGAACUGAGGUAAACCUGGUAGCAAAGGCCAACUUGACGACGUCCCCCCAGCUGCCUCAGCCACAUCUGCCAAACCCAGGAGAUGCCUGGAAAGCCAGGUCCAGGAACAACACAGCCAGCGGGUAUUUCCAGCCAGAGGGGAGGCUGGGGCUUAAGGCAACUUCCAUGGCAUUUUGCCCAGAGCCCUGGUUUCCCCUUCCCCAGUUCCUUCCUGUCCAUACUCUACCAAUGAGCAGGGAGGCAUGGGACAGGAGGGGAAGGCUCAGGGCUACCUCACUGAGGGACCACGGGCUUAACCAGAAGUAGUGUAACCCCAGCACAUGGAGGCAGAAGAAGAAGGAUUAGGAGUUCAAGGCCAUCCUUAAUUGCAUAACACUUUCAAGUUUUCUGGAGGACCCUAAUGUGUUUGCCAGGGCCCAUGUUAGGAAGCUUGCAAUUGUCUAUAACUCCAGAUCCAGGAUAUCUGACUCCCUUUUCUAACUCCCUCAGGGAUCUACACAUGGCACACACACAGAAACACUUGAAAAAUCAAAAUAAAAUUGGGAGGUAGAAGCAAA